UAGGGAAUCUUCGGCAAUGGACGAAAGUCUGACCGAGCAACGCCGCGUGAGUGAAGAAGGUUUUCGGAUCGUAAAACUCUGUUGUUAGAGAAGAACAAGGACGUUAGUAACUGAACGUCCCCUGACGGUAUCUAACCAGAAAGCCACGGCUAACUACGUGCCAGCAGCCGCGGUAAUACGUAGGUGGCAAGCGUUGUCCGGAUUUAUUGGGCGUAAAGCGAGCGCAGGCGGUUUCUUAAGUCUGAUGUGAAAGCCCCCGGCUCAACCGGGGAGGGUCAUUGGAAACUGGGAGACUUGAGUGCAGAAGAGGAGAGUGGAAUUCCAUGUGUAGCGGUGAAAUGCGUAGAUAUAUGGAGGAACACCAGUGGCGACGGCGGCUCUCUGGUCUGUAGCUGACGCUGAGGCUCGAAAGCGUGGGGAGCAAACAGG
rnacentral:rRNA from 1 species